rnacentral:rRNA from 1 species
CCUACGGGGGGCUGCAGUGAGGAAUAUUGGUCAAUGGUCGCAGGGCUGAACCAGCCAAGUCGCGUGAGGGAUGACGGUCCUAUGGAUUGUAAACCUCUUUUGUCAGGGAGCAAAGGGCGCCAAGUGUGGCGUUUUGCGAGUACCUGAAGAAAAAGCAUCGGCUAACUCCGUGCCAGCAGCCGCGGUAAUACGGAGGAUGCGAGCGUUAUCCGGAUUUAUUGGGUUUAAAGGGUGCGCAGGCGGAAGAUCAAGUCAGAGGUAAAAUUGAGAGGCUCAACCUCUUCGAGCCGUUGAAACUGGUUUUCUUGAGUGAGUGAGAGGUAUGCGGAAUGCGAGGUGUAGCGGUGAAAUGCAUAGAUAUCUCGCAGAACUCCGAUUGCGAAGGCAGCAUACCGGCGCUCAACUGACGCUGAGGCACGAAAGCGUGGGGAGCGAACAGGAUUAGAUACCCCGGUAGUC